UACGAGGGGGGCGAGCGUUGUUCGGAAUUAUUGGGCGUAAAGGGUGCGUAGGCGGCCCGACAAGUCUGAUGUGAAAUCCCUGGGCUCAACCCAGGGCCUGCAUCGGAAACUGUCGGGCUUGAGUAUGGGAGAGGUGAGUGGAAUUUCCGGUGUAGCGGUGAAAUGCGUAGAUAUCGUCAAGAACACCGAUAGCGAAGGCAGCUUACUGGGCUGUAACUGACGCUGAUGCACGAAAGUGUGGGGAUCAAACAGG
rnacentral:rRNA from 1 species